UGGGGAAUAUUGCACAAUGGGGGAAACCCUGAUGCAGCAACGCCGCGUGCGGGAUGACGGCCUUCGGGUUGUAAACCGCUUUCAGCCAUGACGAAGCUUUUGUGACGGUAGUGGCAGAAGAAGCACCGGCUAACUACGUGCCAGCAGCCGCGGUGAUACGUAGGGUGCGAGCGUUGUCCGGAAUUAUUGGGCGUAAAGAGCUUGUAGGCGGUUUGUCGCGUCGAAAGUGUAAACGCAGUGCUUAACGCUGAGCCUGCUUUCGAUACGGGCUGACUAGAGGAAGGUAGGGGAGAAUGGAAUUCCCGGUGGAGCGGUGGAAUGCGCAGAUAUCGGGAGGAACACCAGUGGCGAAGGCGGUUCUCUGGACCUUUCCUGACGCUGAGAAGCGAAAGCGUGGGUAGCAAACAGG
rnacentral:rRNA from 1 species